GAGGAAAGAAGAAACAUUGAAUCAAAGAGGAUACUACAGAAAACUGCUGUCGUAAACUGUGCUGCACAUGUUUAUUGACUGGGGCAGCCACCGAGGAUGGAAAGUUGGAAACACAUCAUAGGCUGGAGAAGGCUUGUGGCCUGUAUCAUCCCAAGGUGGUAGGGCAGGAUGCUUCUAAAAUGUGGGUGAGAGGACCUGUUUCCAGCGGAGGUCAGGGAACUUUUACGGCCUGUUCAAGGGAAGGAUCACAAGUUUACUUUGAGCAAGAAGUAUUCAAAAUCGCUACUGAAAAUGCAUGCGCUGCAAGACCCACAGAGCCCUGAAUAUGAAGUGAGAAGCAAUAGAAUUCACGUUCGAA